GAGCGGCAGCAGCAACACCAGAAACCCUAGAAGAAGGAAACAUGCCUGCAGGUCAUGGUUUACGAUCCCGCACCAGAGAUUCAUUCUCUCGUCCCUUCCGCAAGAAGGGAACAAUAGCCUUAGCCACCUACCUCAGGACCUAUCAUAUCGGCGACUAUGUCGAUAUUAGAGUUAACGGAGCUGUGCACAAAGGUAUGCCGCACAAAUUCUACCACGGUCGUACCGGUCGUGUCUGGAAUGUGACUAAGCGUGCCAUUGGUGUUGAAGUCAAUAAGC
rnacentral:lncRNA from 1 species